GAGGGUAUAGCUCAAGAGGUAGAGUGCAUGCUUAGCAUGCAUAAGGUCUGGGUUCAAUCCCUAGUACCUCCA
rfam:Camelus ferus unplaced genomic scaffold scaffold25522, whole genome shotgun sequence.